rnacentral:rRNA from 1 species
AGUGGAUGGGGAGCAACCUAGUUGUGCGUGUGUAAAGGUAGUGCCAAGAAAAGCGAUGAUCAUGUCGAAAAUCAAUUCCCGGUACCCGAAACCGACACAGGUGGGCAAGUAGAGAAUACUAAGGGGCGCGAGGUAACUCUCUCCAAGGAACUCGGCAAAAUGACCCCGUAACUUAGGGAGAAGGGGUGCCACCGAGAGGUGGUCGCAGUGAAGAGGCCCAGGCGACUGUUUAGCAAAAACAUAGGUCUCUGCAAACUCGAAAGAGGAGGUAUAGGGGCUGACGCCUGCCCAGUGCCGGAAGGUUAAAGAAGUUGGUCAGUUUUAGGAUGAAGCUAGCGACUGAAGCCCCGGUGAACGGCGGCCGUAACUAUAACGGUCCUAAGGUAGCGAAAUUCCUUGUCGGGUAAGUUCCGACCCGCACGAAAGGCGUAACGAUCUGGGCGCUGUCUCGGAGAGAGGCUCGGCGAAAUAGGAUUGUCUGUGAAGAUACGGACUACCUGCAUUUGGACAGAAAGACCCUAUGAAGCUUUACUAUAGCUUGGAAUUGUGUUCGGGCUUCCUGUGCGCAGGAUAGGUGGGAGGCGUAGAAGGUAUUCUUGUGGGGAUACUGGAGCCAACGGUGAGAUACCACUCUCAGGAGGCUAGAAUUCUAACUUAAUUAAGGACAGUUUCAGGUGGGUAGUUUGACUGGGGCGGUCGCCUCCAAAAAGGUAACGGAGGCGUACAAAGGUUCCCUCAGACUGGUUGGAAAUCAGUCGAAGAGUGCAAAGGCAGAAGGGAGCUUGACUGCGAGAAGUACAGUUCGAGCAGGGUGGAAACACGGUCUUAGUGAUCCGACGGUGCUGUGUGGAAGGGCCGUCGCUCAACGGAUAAAAGUUACUCUAGGAUAACAGGCUGAUCUCCCCCAAGAGUUCACAUCGACGGGGAGGUUUGGCACCUCGAUGUCGGCUCAUCGCAACCUGGGGCGGAAGUACGUCCCAAGGGUUGGGCUGUUCGCCCAUUAAAGCGGUACGUGAGCUGGGUUCAGAACGUCGUGAGACAGUUCGGUCCAUAUCCGAUGUAGGCGUGAGAAUAUUGAGAGGAGCCUUCCUUAGUACGAGAGGACCGGGAAGGACGCACCGCUGGUGUACCUGUUAUGAUGCCAAUUGUAAACGCAGGGUAGCCAAGUGCGGAGAGGAUAACCGCUGAAAGCAUCUAAGUGGGAAGCCCACCUCAAGAUGAGUAUUCUGGUGUAAGGUCACGGGAAGACGACCCGUAAAUAGGCACGAGGUGGAAGUGCAGAGAUGUAUGAAGCCGAAGUGUACUAAUAGACCGUCGGCUUGACC